ensembl:lncRNA
GACACUGAGUAAAAAGCGUGUGUGUGUUUAAAGGAGAAGUGGUUAAUGAGGUCAAAUGUCAGUGCGAGGUCAAGCAAAAUAAAAACCGAGAAGGAGUCUGUUGGAUUUAGAGAUAUGGGUGGAGAUCAUUGGAUAUCUCUGCAAGAACAGUUUCAGUGGAACAGAAGACUGCAUUGAAUGAGUUAACAUGAAAAAGAGAAGUGAAGAAACGGCUAUGAAACUCAGGAGCAUUUCUGGGGAACGCAUGCCUUCUUACCUGGUCACCUGGUGUCAUCUAUUAUUCCAAGGUUAUAGUUGAGGUCUAAAGUCCUCUUGGGGAUUGACCAAGGUCACACCGUAAGUGACAGAGCUGGUAUUUAACUUCAGCUACUUUGACUCCUUGUCUUGUGUUUUUUCCCCCUUUGCGGUAAUUGAAUUACCUCUGUGUCUAAUUUCAGGCUUGGUGAUUCCCUUUUGCCCUGAGUUUUGUUUGCACCUCCAGCCUGUGUACCGCCUGCUCAGUAAUGAUCUAAUACUUACUGUGUGGGCUUCAGAGUUUAUUUGAUUUGGAGCAACCUGAACGGCCCGUUGGCAAGGACUAAAUAUAAGAUUGUGAACACGGGGACAAGGAUGCAUAUUUCUGGCCAGAGGGGAUCUUGCAAGCUCCGGUAAAAAGCUGCAAAAUCCUGGCAAGAGGUGCUGUAAUGAAAAUGAAUUCUCUAAAUUUAAAUGUUUGUGGUAUAUAAGGUAAAUUCAUAUAAAAGGAGGGAAUACAGAAUUAAAGCAAUGAAGCUUAAUAUUUCUAAUGUGUAGCACCAAUUUAGAAAAAAAAAAAUGAGUUUUUUUGAGUCUGCAAAACUAACGAAUUUUGGAAGAGUCUUGCCCUGACAAUCACACCUAAGAGACAUAAUUUUGCACAAGGCCUGCACCUUGCAGUCUUCAGAAUAGCCUGCUUUUGUUGUUACCUCUCUUGUUUCCUUGCGACAGCCUGUGUUGUGACUGGGCGAUACAUUUUGCUACACUGAUUUUACUGAGGGAGAAACCGCAGCAUGGUGUAGUUGAAAUGACUCAUUCAGUCCCCUAAAAGUGGUCUGUGUGAGAGCCAGGGUUAGGAUUUGGAUCUUCCAUCUUGAAUGCCAUGCUUUGUGUAAAACCCCAUGGUGUACCAAUAUAUCAUUUGGCCCAUUUAAACCACAUGGAUAAUUCAUUUUUCAACACCCUGCUUAUGUGUCAUCUUAGCCGUCAUUUCCAUUAGCUGCUUACACACCUGCACGUUGCUUACACCAGCCUUCUUUUCUACUCAUUCUGACUUCAGAUGGGUGCUCCUUAAGAAACAGAGAACCACUAAAACGCAACACCAACACCAACCCUUCUUUGUUCUGUCCUGAUGUAUAUUACUUCUCAUUUCUGUUCACACGGAAUUCAGUAGUACUUCUGUUCUGUUCUGCCUAUCUAGGGGGUCUCUCUCCUUAUUCCAUUUUGUCGCUUGCAGACUUUCAGUGUCUUUCCCUAUAGGAGAAUCAUGCUUUUGCAUUUAUGUUUGUUGGAGCUGUGGAAAUCUCAGGAAACUUUUUACAACCGUCUUGGUGAAUUAGGACGAAAGGAGCCCCCAUGAUAGAUUGUGUAUUUUCAAUUUAGGUUCACCUCCAACACGUUCUUAGGCCAAGGAGAAAUAAGGAAUUGCAUUCUCCAAGCUCUCUUCUCCAUAUGGUUCCAGUUUAGUUCUUGCCAAUGAGAGGCAUUCACAUGCGAUUUGGAUGACAGAAGAAAAGGAAAAAUUGAAUAGAGGAGUGAGUGAUCCUUGGUUCAUACAUUUGUGCCUCCCACAAAUAUUUACUAAGAUUCUACGUGUAUUCGGCAUUGUUCUACAUUCUGGAAAGACAGUGCCUUUUCCUACAGAAUUAAUAUUCUGUGAAUGAGUGAAGAGACCAAAAAAUAAGUAAAUAAAACAAACAAAAAAUAAAUACAAACAAACAAAAAAAACAAAACCAAAACGUCUAGAAUCCCAAAAAGAAAACAAAAAAUUGAACUAAGGAGAAAAUAUGGAUAUAUAUUUCAGACCAUAAUCAGUAUUGUGAAAACAAAACAAACACAUGGUAGAUAAGAGAUUUUAGAGAGGGGAAUAGACAGACAUGAAUUUUUAUUUAGGAAUAUUCUGAAGUUCAAAGGAUGGUCUAAAGUUGAUUUCUUGAGGGAAAUUUUAGUUUUUGAAAUCUUUCUGAACUUCGUUGUUCAAGUUUCAACUGAGUUGGAUACUCAUGCAGUUAUCAGUGAUUUCUUUAAACACCCAGUGUUAACACACAAAGUGUGUUGCUGGACACCAGCAGAUAUGAGCAGAAUGCCGUCUCCAUCUGUGGUUUGAGAUGCUGUGUGUCUGCCCCCUGAAAGUCUGUCACAUACUCUGCUGUCAUGAAACCUGCUGGAUCAGGAACAACAUGGGAUUUCAAGGGAGUCACUCUGACUUACCCGUGGGCACUGGGAUUGUAUUCCACAGAUGGCUAUAUAGUGUGUGCUGAUUUCCUAGUACGCUGUGCCCAGAUCAGCUGGGUCCUGUGCUUUACAAGAUUGCACAGGAAUGUGUCAUAACAAGCAUAUAUCUGAAUAGAUCUGGAAAACACUCUGGAUAGAUUCAGAUAUGGGAGAUUUCAUCCUAGUUUCUCUGUCCCUCUCCUUAGGGAGUGAUGAACAAGCAGGAGGCCUUACUCCUACAGAUAGAAUUGAGUAUUUCUCUUUCAGAGAUGGACUUU